UCCAGUCCAAUGUCGAUUAAAUUUUUGCCGUAACCAUUGACGUGAAACCUUGAUGAUAUAAUGUUAAUGAUGGACUGGU
rnacentral:snoRNA from 1 species